rnacentral:rRNA from 1 species
GUUUGAUCCUGGCUCAGAUUGAACGCUGGCGGCAUGCCUUACACAUGCAAGUCGAACGGCAGCGCGGGGCAACCUGGCGGCGAGUGGCGAACGGGUGAGUAAUAUAUCGGAACGUACCCUGGAGUGGGGGAUAACGUAGCGAAAGUUACGCUAAUACCGCAUACGAUCUAAGGAUGAAAGUGGGGGAUCGCAAGACCUCAUGCUCCUGGAGCGGCCGAUAUCUGAUUAGCUAGUUGGUAGGGUAAAAGCCUACCAAGGCAUCGAUCAGUAGCUGGUCUGAGAGGACGACCAGCCACACUGGAACUGAGACACGGUCCAGACUCCUACGGGAGGCAGCAGUGGGGAAUUUUGGACAAUGGGCGCAAGCCUGAUCCAGCAAUGCCGCGUGAGUGAAGAAGGCCUUCGGGUUGUAAAGCUCUUUUGUCAGGGAAGAAACGGUGAUUUCUAAUACAGAUUGCUAAUGACGGUACCUGAAGAAUAAGCACCGGCUAACUACGUGCCAGCAGCCGCGGUAAUACGUAGGGUGCAAGCGUUAAUCGGAAUUACUGGGCGUAAAGCGUGCGCAGGCGGUUUUGUAAGUUUGUCGUGAAAUCCCCGGGCUCAACCUGGGAAUGGCGAUGAAGACUGCAAGGCUAGAAUCUGGCAGAGGGGGGUAGAAUUCCACGUGUAGCAGUGAAAUGCGUAGAGAUGUGGAGGAACACCGAUGGCGAAGGCAGCCCCCUGGGUCAAGAUUGACGCUCAUGCACGAAAGCGUGGGGAGCAAACAGGAUUAGAUACCCUGGUAGUCCACGCCCUAAACGAUGUCUACUAGUUGUCGGGUUUUAAUUAACUUGGUAACGCAGCUAACGCGUGAAGUAGACCGCCUGGGGAGUACGGUCGCAAGAUUAAAACUCAAAGGAAUUGACG